rnacentral:rRNA from 1 species
AGCGUAGGCGGGAUAUCAAGUCAGCUGUGAAAUGUAGAUGCUCAACAUCUGCACUGCAGUUGAAACUGGUGUUCUUGAGUGCGUAAGAGGUAGGCGGAAUUCGUCGUGUAGCGGUGAAAUGCAUAGAUAUGACGAAGAACUCCGAUUGCGAAGGCAGCUUACUGGGCCGCAACUGACGCUGAAGCUCGAAGGUGCGGGUAUCAAACA